AUUGAACGCUGGCGGCAGGCCUAACACAUGCGAGUCGAACGGUAACAGGAAGACGCUUGCUUCUUUGCUGACGAGUGGCGGACGGGUGAGUAAUGUCUGGGAAACUGCCUGAUGGAGGGGGAUAACUACUGGAAACGGUAGCUAAUACCGCAUAACGUCGCAAGACCAAAGAGGGGGACCUUCGGGCCUCUUGCCAUCGGAUGUGCCCAGAUGGGAUUAGCUAGUAGGUGGGGUAACGGCUCACCUAGGCGACGAUCCCUAGCUGGUCUGAGAGGAUGACCAGCCACACUGGAACUGAGACACGGUCCAGACUCCUACGGGAGGCAGCAGUGGGGAAUAUUGCACAAAGGGCGCAAGCCUGAUGCAGCCAUGCCGCGUGUAUGAAGAAGGCCUUCGGGUUGUAAAGUACUUUCAGCGGGGAGGAAGGGAGUAAAGUUAAUACCUUUGCUCAUUGACGUUACCCGCAGAAGAAGCACCGGCUAACUCCGUG
rnacentral:rRNA from 1 species